AGUGAACGCUGGCGGUAGGCCUAACACAUGCAAGUCGAACGGCAGCACAGUAAGAGCUUGCUCUUACGGGUGGCGAGUGGCGGACGGGUGAGGAAUACAUCGGAAUCUACUUUUUCGUGGGGGAUAACGUAGGGAAACUUACGCUAAUACCGCAUACGACCUACGGGUGAAAGCAGGGGAUCUUCGGACCUUGCGCGAUUGAAUGAGCCGAUGUCGGAUUAGCUAGUUGGCGGGGUAAAGGCCCACCAAGGCGACGAUCCGUAGCUGGUCUGAGAGGAUGAGUAGGCACAACGGAACCGGGACACGGUCCAGACUCCUACGGGAGGCAGCAGUGGGGAAUAUUGGAAAAUGGGCGGAAGCCUGAUCCAGCCAUACCGGGGGGGUGAAGAAGGCCUUCGGGUUGUAAAGCCCUUUUGUUGGGAAAGAAAAGCAGCAGGUUAAUACCCCGCUGUUCUGACGGUACCCAAAGAAUAAGCACCGGCUAACUUCGUG
rnacentral:rRNA from 1 species